rnacentral:rRNA from 1 species
UACGUAGGGUGCGAGCGUUAAUCGGAAUUACUGGGCGUAAAGCGUGCGCAGGCGGUGCUGUAAGACCGAUGUGAAAUCCCCGGGCUUAACCUGGGAACUGCAUUGGUGACUGCAGCGCUGGAGUAUGGCAGAGGGGGGUGGAAUUCCACGUGUAGCAGUGAAAUGCGUAGAGAUGUGGAGGAAUACCGAUGGCGAAGGCAGCCCCCUGGGCCAAUACUGACGCUCAUGCACGAAAGCGUGGGGAGCAAACAGG